rnacentral:rRNA from 1 species
UACGUAGGGGGCAAGCGUUGUCCGGAUUGACUGGGCGUAAAGCGCACGCAGGCGGAUACGCGCGUGGGGUGUGAAAUCUGGCCGCUUAACGGCCAGGCGCCAUCCCAUACGGCGCGUCUGGAGUGAUGCAGAGGUCGAUGGAAUUGCCGGUGUAGUGGUGAAAUGCGUAGAGAUCGGCAGGAACACCCAGGGGGAAACCAGUCGACUGGGCAUCUACUGACGCUGAGGUGCGAGAGCGUGGGGAGCGAACCGG